rnacentral:rRNA from 1 species
GACGAACGCUGGCGGCGUGCCUUACACAUGCAAGUCGAACGGUAACAGGUCUUCGGAUGCUGACGAGUGGCGAACGGGUGAGUAAUACAUCGGAACGUGCCUAGUAGUGGGGGAUAACUACUCGAAAGAGUGGCUAAUACCGCAUGAGAUCUACGGAUGAAAGCAGGGGAUCGCAAGACCUUGUGCUACUAGAGCGGCCGAUGGCAGAUUAGGUAGUUGGUGGGAUAAAAGCUUACCAAGCCGACGAUCUGUAGCUGGUCUGAGAGGACGAUCAGCCACACUGGGACUGAGACACGGCCCAGACUCCUACGGGAGGCAGCAGUGGGGAAUUUUGGACAAUGGGCGCAAGCCUGAUCCAGCAAUGCCGCGUGCAGGAUGAAGGCCUUCGGGUUGUAAACUGCUUUUGUACGGAACGAAAAGCCCUGGGUUAAUACCCUGGGGUCAUGACGGUACCGUAAGAAUAAGCACCGGCUAACUACGUGCCAGCCGCCGCGGUAAAAC